AAUAACCAAAUAUCCGCACAGGAUUGAGAUUGGGUGAGGUAAUUAUUCUCACAGAUGCCACACUAGGGUCAUAAAUUCCUCCCCAAAUUGUGGCUUUUAGCACUAGUAAAAAUGCUCCUAAACCCAACAAAACCAGAUGAAUACCAAUAAUGGUGGUCAUUUUGUCUUCAUCUUCCCA
rnacentral:antisense_RNA from 1 species